rnacentral:rRNA from 1 species
GAUGAACGCUAGCGACAGGCUUAACACAUGCAAGUCGAGGGGAAACGAUAUUGGAAGCUUGCUUCCGAUAGGCGUCGACCGGCGCACGGGUGAGUAACGCGUAUCCAACCUGCCCAUCACUUGGGAAUAACCUUGCGAAAGUAAGACUAAUGCCCAAUGACAUUUAUAGAAGGCAUCUGAAAUGAAUUAAAGAUUUAUCGGUGAUGGAUGGGGAUGCGUCUGAUUAGCUUGUUGGCGGGGUAACGGCCCACCAAGGCGACGAUCAGUAGGGGUUCUGAGAGGAAGGUCCCCCCACAUUGGAACUGAGACACGGUCCAAACUCCUACGGGAGGCAGCAGUGAGGAAUAUUGGUCAAUGGGCGAGAGCCUGAACCAGCCAAGUAGCGUGCAGGACGACGGCCCUAUGGGUUGUAAACUGCUUUUAUAAGGGAAUAAAGUGGGUCACGUGUGACUUUUUGCAUGUACCUUAUGAAUAAGGACCGGCGUAAUUCCGUG